UACGUAGGGGCCGAGCGUUGUCCGGAGUUACUGGGCGUAAAGCGCGCGCAGGCGGCUCGUCAAGCCUGACGUGAAAGCCCCCGGCUCAACCGGGGGAGGGUCGUCGGGGGACUGGCGGGCUUGAGGUCGGCAGGGGGUUGGUGGAAUUCCCGGUGUAGUGGUGAAAUGCGUAGAGAUCGGGAGGAACACCCGUGGCGAAGGCGGCCAACUGGGCCGGACCUGACGCUGAGGCGCGAAGGCGUGGGGAGCGAACGGG
rnacentral:rRNA from 1 species